rnacentral:siRNA from 1 species
AACGAAGUUGGCCACCACUCCGUC